rnacentral:rRNA from 1 species
UACGGAGGGUGCAAGCGUUAUCCGGAUUCACUGGGUUUAAAGGGAGCGUAGGAGGGCAAGUAAGUCAGUGGUGAAAUCUCCGGGCUUAACCCGGAAACUGCCAUUGAUACUAUUUGUCUUGAAUACUGUGGAGGUCAGCGGAAUAUGUCAUGUAGCGGUGAAAUGCUUAGAUAUGACAUAGAACACCAAUUGCGAAGGCAGCUGGCUACACAAAUAUUGACACUGAGGCACGAAAGCGUGGGGAUCAAACAGG